rnacentral:rRNA from 1 species
AAAAAAGCGUUGGGGCAUUCAGCUCAUAGCGUAUAUUAAAGUUGUUGCAGUUAAAAAGCUCGUAGUUGAACUUCAGACCUGGUCGGGCGGUCCGCUUAACGGCGAGUACUGUCUGACUGGGCCUUACCUCUUGGUGAGCCGGCGUGCCCUUUACUGGGUGUGUCGGGGAACCAGGACUUUUACCUUGAGAAAAUUAGAGUGUUUAAAGCAGGCAAU